GGUGUGUUUUAUACAGGUGUGUUUUAUACAGGUGUGUUUUAUACAGGUGUGUUUUAUACAGGUGUGUUUUAUACUGGUGUGUUUUAUACUGGUGUGUUUUUACAGGUGUGUUUUAUACUGGUGUGUUUUAUACUGGUGUGUUUUAUACUGGUGUGUUUUAUACAGGUGUGUUUUAUACAGGUGUGUUUUAUACUGGUGUGUUUUUUACAGGUGUGUUUUUUACAGGUGUGUUUUUUACAGGUGUGUUUUAUACAGGUGUGUUUUUUACAGGUGUGUUUUAAACAGGUGUGUUUUUUACAGGUGUGUUUUAUACAGGUGUGUUUUUUACAGGUGUGUUUUAAACAGGUGUGUUUUAAACAGGUGUGUUUUAUACAGGUGUGUUUUUUACAGGUGUGUUUUUUACAGGUGUGUUUUAUACUGGUGUGUUUUUAAAGUUUUUUUGUACAGUUGUGUUUCUACAGGUGUGCACUGUACAGGUGUGUAAUUCUGUACAGGUGUACUG